rnacentral:lncRNA from 1 species
CAGAGCCAUCUGGGAACAUUUUUUAAAAGUCCUGCCCGCAAGAAGAGACAAAAACAUAUCUGGAAAUGCAUUUUCUCACUCAGGAUGCAACCCAUCUAUGCCCUGCAGCCUGACCAAGCAGUGCUGACCACUGCUGGACAAAGAGGCAGGAGUCAGUGACAUCUGUUUUAUUAUGUCAAGGCUGGCAAAUACCUAGCAUGAAUGUUGCUAGUUCCCCACUGUGCCUAUGAUAGACAUCACUAAGGAACUGCACACUCUUCCCAAUCCACCCAAACAGGGCCUCGGAGCCCCCUGAAUAGACUACCACUCCCCAGAAAUCAGAGCUGGCUGGAAAGUGAAGCCCACCUGCCCUCCCUGUCCUCAGCCUCUCUGCACAUUGUGGCAUCACACCAACCUCCAAGGCAAUCCAAAUGAGAACCCUGAGGAAAUAAUGUGCCUCCAAAGCAAAGCAAAUUCCUUCCCUUCUCAAUGAUGCACCUGGAGUUUAGGGGCAAAUGCGUAACAUUGUUAAUUUGGAUAAGGGUCAUAUUAAUAUAUCUGAGCCACCCAACAAGACAAGGCCCUGCACUGGAUGAACUUCCCCAACAGUCUCUCCCAAAUGCCUCAGUCUGAAUUCAUUAUUCCCUUCACACUUGGUUAGGUCCUAUUUGUGCCCAAGUCUAUUAACAGACUGCAAAUUUUUUGCCAGAAACCCUUGAAGCCAGUCCAAGGAUGCAGACAUGCAUUGUUGACAUGAAAGCAAAGAUAAAGCUAUGGAGGCUUACCUCGAAUAUGGCAACUGGGAAGUGAAUCAAUAACAUGGAGGUAACAAGGACUGGGGACAAGCGACCUGAUCUUUAUCACCCUGAAGGGGAAAGGUUCACAUGAAAUGUUUGGUCUUCUGGGCCACACAGGGCUGUCUUGGCUGCACAGCCUGUACUAGGUAAGCAGCAUGUAGGUGCUCACCGGGAACCCACAUCACUCAAACACUGAAGGUGUGUUAGUCCUAAUCUUUAUUUGGCACCCGGAGCUCCCAGGCCCACAAUGUGCAAAGCAGUAGUAUAUUUUAAGAAAGCACUAGACCUCACAACCAACAGCCAUAAGCAAAUGGAAACCGUGGUAGCACAAAGUAAAAUGAAAAAAUAAUGUAUGUUUUACAAGACCUGUAUACCACUGACCAUAGAACCGACAGAACAUUUACUUCUAAGCAGUGGCUCAUCCAUCCUGUAUGACAUGAAAGGGUAUGAAAACCAGGGAACCCACUGAGGAGUCAGCCUCCAGAUACAGUUCAGUGCAGAGGAGGAGGCAGGAGAAACACAUGAGAAGGGGGAAUACACGGUUUGAAAAAUGGUUAAAACUUCAAAGACUGAGCUGAGGGCUUGAGCCAAAUGAAGGAAAGCAGGAUCCAAAGGGCGACUGCCCAGUUCCAUUAAAAAAGCUAUGGAAAGGGCUUGACGGAAAAUUCCUAGUAAGUAUCAGCUAAAACAAAGGCACCUAGUUAGGGUGAACCUAGUGCCAGUGAAAGGCCGAUGGCUCUCAAGCUGAGAGAAUAAAGAGGAUGAGAUAUCCAGAAGUCACCCACUCUCACUUCCUAGAGUUGAAAAGAGCAUUAUAAUUAACAGGCUAUACCCUCAGUAAAAGGUGUUAAGUUCAGCAAAGGGUGCCUACCCUGGGAACUACUCCUAAAUUCUAACCACUAAAAAAAAACUAAUUUUCUAUGUUGUAAACUCUAUGACUUUAUUCUAAUCAUCCAUCGUCAAACCACUGCUAAGACAAGCAACCCUAAAGGUCUUUCUGUUUCUCAAGGGAAUAGCAUUACCAUUUCAAUUAGUCUACAAAGAUCAGCAAUGAGUAACAAAAUAUAGAGAGACUGGCAGUUCUAAUAUGCUUCUCAAUCCUGAGCAUUUUAUUUUCUUUCAUCCCCCAAACCAAACAGCACCAAAGGAGAUGUAAUAACAAAUAUUUCAAUGUGGAUAUCUGCAGUUUAACAGCCUUAAUAACUGUAGCUAUAAAAUGUUAAGAGCUAUCGUAUUUUGGUGGCAAUUAAGAGUUAUUGAUAUUUCUGAAAUUCAUUUGAGAUUUCACUGUAGCUUUAGCAAAAUAUUGGCUCUGGAAAUAAUAAAUUGUUUUACAAUCUUAACAUUAUUAAGAAAAACUUAUUGCCAUCAAAUUAACUAAACCCACAUUUAAAAUUCAAUCAAAAUAAAUUGCUCUUGAUCAAAAUACUGAUAUAUUUUAAACAUAUUUAAUAUUGACCCAAUUUAAUUGGAAAAAUAUAUAUUGCUCCAUUUAUAAUCAAUAUGUUGAGAUUAACACUUUUAUUAAUUCCUUGCAGUAGUUAAGAAAAAGUCUGACACCGCUCACUGUUCAAGAGUACUGGGCAACAUUCCUCAAACAACUUCACAGGUAAUAAACGUGCACAGAAACGAAAGCUGUGCUGAGGGAUGACAAAUAUAAGCCAGCCCUCAUCUGUGCAUUACUACAUAAGGUGCUACUAGAAUGUGAGUGCCGCAACUCUAAAGAACAGGAUUUAAGUCACAGGUCCUCAAAUUACUGUUUAAAAGAAUUGACACAUCUAUUUCGGAAAGGUUAUGGAAUGUCUGUAGUGUCUGGACGGGGGUUAAUGAGCAGUUCUAAGUAACAAGAAAAAACACCAGGUCAACCUUCACUCACAAAGGCCAAUAAAUACAACAAACUAGGUCUCUUCACCUUGAGAAAUAAGAAAAAACUGUUGAGGAUUGGGAAAAAGCCAUCCCACUAUCAAGUAUUUUAAAAGUAAUAAGGUUCCUUUUUCCCUUUGACUUCCUUAGAGCUAAGUGAGCUCUAAGUCAAGGAGACUUGAAAUGCGCGGCAGUAGCACAGUGUUCAGUGGGCCACCAUGGGGAGGCCUGCAAUACAGAUUAUUUUUCCUGGCUCUCAGAAAACGUGUGGCAAUAUGCAAUUCAGACUUCAUGUUUCACAUGUUCACCUUCCCUUUUAUGGUGCUUGCUUUAUACAAUGACAAUGUCAUGGAGCUAAAAGCCAAAGUCAGUCUCUAACAUAAAAAACAACAGUGAAAAGAAAGGUAUGCUGUGCAUACAAAGUACACUUUUUGCAUGAUGGUGGCUUAUAAUUAUGCAGAUGACUAUUUUCUCAAGACAAAGGAAGGAUUUACAAAAGCAAGCUUAUUCUUUCUAUGCCAAAGCUUAAGUUUCAGCUCUUUUUUGAAGAAAAGUUCUCUAAAAUUACUUUCCUGCUUCAAAAGGGAAAACAGAAACCCCUAUCCAGUAUGCAUUAAUUCACCCUUUUCUUUUUCCUGAUACUCAUUCUAGGGUGACUGUCGGUAUAAAGGCGACACAGCUCACACUCAGCCCUCUGUAUGCCUCUUGCCCCAGCCUUCCCUUAAGUUUUUCAUCUUAGACUUGCCUCCAAAUCCAACUAAAGACCUAGAAGUACAUGCAUUUGGGGCCAGCAUCAUUAAGGACUCAGGGGCCCCACUGCUUCUAGCAGGUUAAGGCUGCAGAAAUCCAACCUCUGUAUAAUCGGGGGGGUCUAAUAUAUUAAGCUGGAUCUAGAAUGCUUACAUAUUAAUAAACCUGUCACCUAAGAUAAAGCAAACAGUACAAUGUAUUUAUAAUCCC